GGAUUUUCCUCAAGAGGGUUUUGAUGCUGUGUGCAAGCAAAACUCUUAAUGCUGUGACCAAAAAGAGAGCUUUUUAUCAGGAUGAUAUUACUACCUGACAGUGCUGUGUUUUUCUGGGAUGAUAUAGUU
ensembl:snoRNA predicted gene, 23584